rnacentral:lncRNA from 1 species
UCUUUUAUUAAUUAGAUCUUAUUUAAUUGUACAUGUAAUAAUGAUUAUAAAAUUUGCAAUCUUCUUUCUUAAAAGUAACCGAUUUAAUAUAUUGAGUUUUUGUACUAUUGUUGUAAUGCCGAAAAUAAGAUAUUAAUGAUGAUACACAAACGUUAAUAACAAUUAUUAAAAAUAUUAUUGAAAAUUUUGGUGAAGGCGCCGGGAUUAUUUAAAUCAAUUGAGCUAUAAUUGCGAUUUUAUUGAGGUAGAUUAACAAAUUUAUAUCUUUAAAUUAUAUUUUUCUGUAUUGACGUAGUUAGAAAUGUUUAAUUAUAUAUUUUCAUCAUUAAAUUAGUUAAAUUAAUUUCGGUUUCAUCGAGAUAGAUUGAUUAUUUUUUAUCUUUUUUCUUUUGCCGACGCAGUAGGGAUGUUAAGUUAUAUAUUUUCAUCAUUAAAUUAAUUAAAUUAAACCAGAAUUUGUAUUAUAAUAUAUAGACAACUCAAUAUAUAGCAAAUAGUAGAACUGAAAAUUUGGUGGAGGCGCCGGGACAAUUUAAAACAAAGGCUAUAAUUGAGCUAUAAUUUCGAUUUCAUUGAAAUAGAUUGAUGAAUUUUCAUCUUUGAUUUAUGUUUAUUGCAUCGAUACAGUUAAGGAUGCUAUUUGUAUCUUUCUUUUUACAAUAAAUUAAACUACAAUUCGUAAUAUAAUUAUAGGCAACCGAACAUACAGCAAAUUUUACAACUCUAGUAAUGUAAGUAAUAAAAGUCAGAAAACGCUUUUUAUCACAAAAUUAGUUUUUUACGCGAAGCUUAAUAAUAUCCUCGAGCAAACUACCAAAUAAUAAGUCGAAUUAAUUAAUUAAUUAGUAAUAUUUUUAGAGAUAUCAUUUCAUAUAUGACAAAAAUUACAAUUAUUUUGUAUUUUGAUAAAAAUUUGGUCUAAUUUUAUAAUAAAACAGAAGACUGUUUAUAUUACGUUUUUAUAAUAUCUGCAGUAGAUCAAAAAUAUACAUCUUAAUUAUUACACUAAAUACGUUGAGGUCUUAGAAAGUAUAAUAGAAUUUAUUUAAAAUACUCAUAACUGAUGCAUAUUGCGAAAGAUACAGUUAAAUUAAUAAAUAUUCAUGUUUUAACAGUACAUUAUCCAUAUGUGCUGGAGUGUAACGCACACAUGUUACAUAGUAUGUUUAAUACGAUAAAAAUGAAAGUUAGAAUCAGUUUCAAUUCCAUAUGUUACGGAUUUUUUUUAUGUAAUAUCCAGUGAAAAUAUUAAACAUAGUAUCCACUCAUUAACUGUAACAGUAACGAUUAAAUUUUACGUCUUACAGUGAGUGCAAGAAACAUUCGAGCACACACUUUUUUGUUUUUGUUGUUGCGUCAUUAUUACAAAAUAAAAGAAGUUGAUGUUCCUUGACAAUGGCAAAUGAAUAGAUUAAGGUGAAAUCCCAAUUACUAGAUCGGAAAUAUGCCGCUCAUAGCCUUGAUUAAUGUCUUCCUAGUCCGAAACAGAAAGUUAAUGCUGUGAGAAUACCAUUUCCGUUUAAAUUAGUCAAAAAAACUGCUUUCAUCGUGUUACGUAAUUAAUAAUACGCCUGUGGAACGGAUUUAAUAAUAAUUUACGGUGAAUACACAAAAAAAAUAAUUUUAAGCGUCCGUGUCCCAAAAAUAUAACCGAUUAAGUUUUAAAAAUUGAAUAAAAAUACGAAAUUCAAAAAACUACUUAAAUAAUGUUUUGUAAUAGUGAUAACAGGUACUUAAUUGAGUUUAUUUGUUUAUCCUUUCGACAGAAUUAAUUCGCGUGAUUCAUACAAGGAAACAACUUUGUGUUGUGUUUUAUAAGCACCUGUUCGUAAUUGAAAAUGUUUCGAAAUGUGAAAAAUGUCUAGAUUGUAUUUGAUCGUGUCUAUUUUGAGAUGUUUGUGUACAAACGACUGCAACGAGAUUGUCUUUUGUUAACCAUUUUUGGUAUAAAGAAGGCCAACUGGUGGAAGAAUCAGUCCAGUUUGUGGUGAAUUAAAAAUCGACAGGUGAAAUGAGUCGUGCAGGUUCUUGUCCUCACAGAAAGAACAAAAGAACAGAAAAAACCGUGAUUGGUUCUUAUUUGUGGAACAAAAGUUGCAUUUGAUUUUGUUUGUUGUUAAAUCGAAUGUUUGUUCGUUUGUUCACUUUCAAUUUUUGUCACAGGAAAUUGAAAAGAAAUGAAAUGAAAAUAAACGUUUCAUAUUUUUUGUUAGUUAGAGUUUGUUUUUUUUUCUUUUUAAAGUAGAACAAGAUUAUACACAAACGUUUCAAAGUUUACGAUUACUAUAAACUUUGUGAAAAGAAAGUUUUAGACAGUAUGUUUUUUUAGGUUUAUAGGUCAAUAUUAAGUUCAUUUAUAAAAAAAUCCUGCAUUUUAUCGCGCUUUUUUUUGUGUUACUAAUUACGACGAUUUAUUAAUUAAUAGGAUUCUGUACUAGGAAUGCAGGAAACAACCCUUUAUGUUCUCUCUAUCUAUAGGUCGUAGUUGUACCUACGUAUUAACUUGCAUUUGUUUUUUUUUUUUAAGUUUUAUACUUAAUUCUUCUUCAAAUAUUGUGAACCAAAAUAAAUUGUACCUACUAUUUUUUUAAAACGCAUAAAGUUCUAUAAAUGACGAAAAAGGGUCAGAAAAGUUUGUUUUCUAAAAUUUUUGUAACAAAAAGCGUUUAUAAAAUAGACGCAAAAUACCAGGCAUUAAAGCAAAGCUUUUUGAACUGUUCUAUUAUUGUUGAAGUACAUAGACAUUAAAUGGAAUACUUUCAAGGUACUUUCACCUUUGAACAAACAAAAACAUUAUAAACAAAACAAAGGACUUUCGAGACGUCUGAUAAAACGUAUCAAUAAAAUCCUUAUCUCUAUCAAUUGCCCAGUGAACUUUGAGAAUGCCUUCGUCUACUGGCUUGUUUUUGUUACAACAAUAGCAAACAAAUAAGCGCAACAUUAUUUGCAA